ACUCAGCUUCAACCAGGAGAAAGGGUUUAAUUCAUUUCAGAGCUGUAGCCAACCCAGGCGGGUACUUCAGAUGCAGCGCACCGUGCCACGGUCACCAGACGUCCAUGUGGCUGUGUCCAGCCAAUGGCCUAAUGUGCACCAUGAUCCAGUGAGAUCAGGAAUGCUUGCAGCGACUUUCCUUCUCAAUGCAGCCCCUUUUACCUUUAUUAGGAGUACUCAGCACCUUCUUAGACACGGCUCAGAUUCAGGGCCCAGAUCUGCCACAGCUCGACCUCAGAUAUCCCUUUUGAUGACUGACAUUGUUCAUGGCCCAGGGAUAUGCUUCUCAACAUCUUUGUCUAAUGUCCUUGAAACAGUAAAUGACUGCAUCUGAAUGCUAUGGAAAUUCUGGGGUUGCAUCCCUGUUGUCAGCACAGACAAAAGCACUACUCCAGAGUAUAGGGAAAAUUUAAGUGGUGAGAUCUUUUGGGAGACAGAAAAGGCCCUACAAAUGUGAGGAAUGGGACUGGAACACAACAUUUGUUGCUGAAGUUACAUAUUUUGGAAGAAAGUCUUGCUCUGUCACCCAGGCUGGAGUGCAG
rnacentral:lncRNA from 1 species